rnacentral:rRNA from 1 species
CCUACGGGAGGCAGCAGUGAGGAAUUUUCUGCAAUGGACGAAAGUCUGACAGAGCAAUACCGCGUGAAGGACGAAGGCCUGCGGGUUGUAAACUUCUUUUCCCAAGGAGGAAGACAUGACGUUACUUGGGGAAUAAGCAUCGGCUAACCCUGUGCCAGCAGCCGCGGUAAUACAGGGGAUGCGAGUGUUAUUCGGAAUUAUUGGGUGUAAAGCGUCAGCAGGUGGACUUGUAAGUCUUUGUAAAUUUCGGGCUUAACCCGAGGCAUGCAAAGGAAACUCCAAGUCUAGAGUAUGGUAGAGGUAAGAGGAAUUUCCAGAGGAGUGGUGAAAUGCGUAGAUAUUGGAAAGAACACCAACAGCGAAGGCAUCUUACUGGGCCAGUACUGACACUCAGUGACGAAAGCUUGGGUAGCAAACAGGAUUAGAUACCCUGGUAGUCCAAGCUGUAAACGAUGGGUACUAGGUGUUGUGUAACUCUCAGAGUAUGCAGUGCGUACGACUAACGUACGUUAACGUAACCCUACCGUACGGGAGGUAGUGCUCGCGAAGGUAGGAAACGUACAAAGGAAAGUUAGUACGGACGUGAGACGUAGCCGAACGGACGACGAACGAAGGGAGGUAGG